rnacentral:pre_miRNA from 1 species
UGUGACAUUACUGAGUCACAUGGUAAAUAUUUGCUUAAGUUUAUAAGAAAUGUACAGUUUUCCAAAGUGGCUGUACCAUUUUGCAUUUCUACUAGCAAU